rnacentral:rRNA from 1 species
UACGUAGGGUGCAAGCGGUAAUCGGAAUUACUGGGCGUAAAGCGUGCGCAGGCGGUGAUGUAAGACAGAUGUGAAAUCCCCGGGCUCAACCUGGGAACUGCAUUUGUGACUGCAUCGCUGGAGUGCGGCAGAGGGGGAUGGAAUUCCGCGUGUAGCAGUGAAAUGCGUAGAUAUGCGGAGGAACACCGAUGGCGAAGGCAAUCCCCUGGGCCUGCACUGACGCUCAUGCACGAAAGCGUGGGGAGCAAACAGG